UUUCACUUAUAGAGGGAAAACCCGUGGAUUUUAUGAGAUAAAGAAAUAUAGUGUCUUCGAUAAUCAAGAACUAGGCUAACUUAGUGUUAACAAUAGCAUGAACUCGAGUUAAAAGAUUCGUUAGAACGAUAGCUUAAAGGAACGCCCACCGGGUAAAUUGAAAAUGCCUAAACUAGCUAAGGAACAUGAAUGUGCAUAUUAAGGGAUGUUUGACUUUCGAAAAGUCAAACUGACCCAUAAUGCGAUAAAUGGUAAUCUUUGGUAUGAAAUGCGUAAGGUGGAAUAAUCGUAUUAAAUUGUGAUUAAACUAACCACCUUGAAAACAAUGAUGAUAGUUUGACGCGUAACAAGCUAGGUGGAAGCUUGAUGAGGGAGCGGGUCAAACGAAUCAAGAAGGAAAGGAAAAAAAACAUAGUUCGGACACGAGGAAAUAAAUAGCACAUGGAUGCUUACAUCGCUAUCGCUUAGCAGCCACUAAGGAAAGGUAUUGAAACGGGUCAAUAUAUUGAUCCGAGCCAGGUUCUUUUUGGAUGCCGGAAGACGAUCAAGCUCAUCGAAGGACCGAACACGAUAAAGAUACAUGCUUCCGCACAUUUCCUCGUCGUAAAUUUUUAAACGACAAAUUCGAUCACUUAUGUUGAAUAACUUAUGAUUUGUAAAAGUUUUAAUAAACUCGUAUUUUUAUAGUA